UGGGGAAUAUUGGACAAUGGGCGAAAGCCUGAUCCAGCCAUGCCGCGUGUGUGAAGAAGGUCUUCGGAUUGUAAAGCACUUUAAGUUGGGAGGAAGGGCAGUAAGCGAAUACCUUGCUGUUUUGACGUUACCGACAGAAUAAGCACCGGCUAACUCUGUGCCAGCAGCCGCGGUAAUACAGAGGGUGCGAGCGUUAAUCGGAUUUACUGGGCGUAAAGCGUGCGUAGGCGGCUAAUUGAGUCGGAUGUGAAAUCCCCGAGCUUAACUUGGGAAUUGCAUUCGAUACUGGUUAGCUAGAGUGUGGGAGAGGAUGGUAGAAUUCCAGGUGUAGCGGUGCAAUGCGUAGAGAUCUGGAGGAAUACCGAUGGCGAAGGCAGCCAUCUGGCCUAACACUGACGCUGAGGUACGAAAGCAUGGGGAGCAAACAGG
rnacentral:rRNA from 1 species